rnacentral:lncRNA from 1 species
CUUCAUCUCUGAGCACAAGGCCUGGAGAAGGAAGUGGCAACCCACUCCAGUAUCCUUGCCUGGAGAAUCCAUGGACAGAGGAGCCUGGUGGGCUACAGUCCAUGGGGUCUCAAGAAUCGGACACGACUGAGCAACUCAACCACCUCCAGCUGAGCACCAGCUCAUAGUAUUUCCAGCUAAACUGGCAGAGAUCAAAGGAGCUGGAAUUAAUUCAGUGAAGCAGAAUGAAUGCAAGUGAGAAGAUCAAGAUGAAGAUCAACAGCCAAACAAAUAUCAGAAGUAUUGUGAGAGAGACAAAAGUGAAAACAUCCAUUCUGAUGGAAAGAAAAAUGUUGGACACACAAGAAUAAAUGACAAAGGAAAGGAAAAAAUGUAGAGCUG